AUUGAACGCUGGCGGCAGGCCUAACACAUGCAAGUCGAGUGGAGCGGCGGACGGGUGAGUAAUGCCUAGGAAUCUGCCUGGUAGUGGGGGAUAACGUCCGGAAACGGGCGCUAAUACCGCAUACUAUCAGAUGAGCCUAGGUCGGAUUAGCUAGUGGGGGGGGGAAAGGCCUACCAAGGAGACGAUCCGGAACUGGUCUGAGAGGAUGAUCAGUCACACUGGAAGUGAGGCCAGGUCCAGACUCCUACGGAAGGCAGCAUGGGGGAAUAUGGGAAAAUGGGCGAAAUCCUAAUCCAGCCAUGCCGCGUGUGUGAAGAAGGUCUUCGGAUUGUAGAGCACUUAAAGUUGGGAGGCGUUACCAACAGAAUAAGCACCGGCGAACUUCGUGCCAGCCGCCGCGGUAAUGC
rnacentral:rRNA from 1 species